rnacentral:misc_RNA from 1 species
GUAGGUGAACCUGCGGAAGGAUCAUUAAAAAAAUGUACGCCUAGUGAAAGUGUAAAAAUGCUGAAUCUAGUGCUGUAUAUAACCACCUGUUUACCUUUACCUGUUGCUUCCGUGGAAUUAUGGGUGCUCGUUCUGCUCGCAGACUUGAGUUACCUUCCACGGGUGUAUUUCAAAAUAUUGUCUUGCUGAAUUGUCUGAUAAAAAAAUUUUAAUAAGUUAAAACUUUCAACAACGGAUCUCUAGGUUCUC